UUUAUGAAUUUCCCCCUUAAUUGUCCCAUUCUUAAUUUAAUCUUUUGUUAAUAAAUGGUUGAUUAAUUUGUGCUAUAUGUUCAAAUUCCAACAAGAUUUGGUUUUUGAGAUUAAUUUAUGAUUAGUUUUGGAGUUAGUUUACAAAAGAAACACAGUUGACAAAAAUCUACAUAAAUAAUUAGUUACAUGUAAAACUAUAGCUGUUGAACAAUUAUUGAUUAUGAUGUGAGGGGGUGAAUUCUAUUGAAUUUUGAGUCAAUGUUAUUUUUUUUUAAGUUCAAUGUAGCCAAAUAGAUGCAUUGAGAAUCGAAAAGAGUUUUAGUUUCAGCAUUCAAAUUUAGUUAGUUGGUUGGUAAAUAUUUGUUUUUAAGGCAUUGAAAUCGGAAAGAUAUGUUAUCUAUUUGUUUAUUAUUUUGACUCAACCUAUUAACUGAGGAUAGAACACAAAAAUCAUUUACUUUUUGUUUGUGGGUCUGGGUUGAUACUCUUCAAACUUUGUAUUACAUGCUGAGAUUGGUAACCUAAAUGCAUGUGUAUGUAUGUUUUGUUUGAAAUGUGAUUUUACAAUUAGCUUUUGUUUAGAUAGUUUCCCUCACCACGUGUUUGAUGUGGAGCAACUUAAAUGUUGUAGCCUAACUAUGUUCAUAUUUAUUUUUGUAUUGUAGACAGUUUAGCCUCAGUAUAUGCACUUUAUCUUUGCAUCUUAUAAGCCUUCAAAGAGAUGAAUGACAAUAUCUUCUUUGGUCUUGAAAUAUUUCUGGUACUACUCCAUGUCUUGUACAACUAAUGGGAUUAUUCUUCGUUCCAGAGUCUCUCCUAGAUGGCUGGUGGGUCCAAAUAUCUUGAUGGGAAUGUAAUUUAUAUGUUGUUUUAAUUUUGUGACUAAAAAGAAGACGAUUUGAUCCCAUUAGUGAAGAAGAGAAAGAUCAAUUUUUAUGACAUGUAACAAUAUUCUUUCAUUAUUUCAUGACUAUAUAAUAUAUAUAUGUGUCUGAAUUGGACUUUA